rnacentral:rRNA from 1 species
ACACGACUACAUUAGAUACCCGCGUAGUCCCAGCCCUAAACGAUGCGCGUUAGGUGUAUCGGUGACCACGAGUCACCGAGGUGCCGAAGGGAAACCGUGAAACGUGCCGCCUGGGAAGUACGGUCGCAAGGCUGAAACUUAAAGGAAUUGGCGGGGGAGCACCGCAACGGGAGGAGCGUGCGGUUUAAUUGGAUUCAACACCGUAAAACUCACCAGGGAAGACUGUUACAUGAAGGCCGAGAUGAAGACUCUGCUAGAUUUUCAG